AAUUAAAUUUUUUUCUUUUUUUUUUCUUUUUUACUUGCUUAAAAAAGAGCGCCUUUUUAUAAUAAAUAUUUUCGUGAUGAGAAGGUUAUAUUUUAGUUUUUGAGCAAAUAAUUGCUUAUCCAAGGCAUUCUCUCACACUGGAAUGUACUUUAGUUCUGGAAAAAUUAAUUAUUUGUGAAAAGCAUUAUCAAAAUUGUUAAACCAUGGACAAUUAUUUCAUUUUUUGCAUCACUAAAAAAACAUUUAAAACAGAAUUCCUUUCAAGUCAACUACAAUAACUACUACAAGUAAUUAAUUGAACAGGUAUUCAAGAACCUUUGCUACCCACCAGUAAAUAACUUUUAAGUCCUUUUUUUUGUUUUUUAAAUGCAUUGUUCAAAGAAACCGUUAAGAAAAAGACAAUUGAUAUGCAAAGUAGAAUGUAAUUUUUAUUUUAGUAGCCAGUAUUUAAGAUGAAAUAGAUUUACGGGGUAAUGCCAUUUUCAUUUUACUUUUAAAUAGUGUGUUUGCAAACAAGGUGUAUCUGAGCUUAUAAUAUCCACUUUUUAAAUAACGUGUAGCAUUAUUUUUAUUAUGGUAUUAACUAUGGAACCCAAAUAAUAAAUAUAGAGGUUUAAACAAGUACAGCUACCACUUCCAUAAUGUCAUCUAAGUGAUUAAAUAAUUUAGAAAAAUACUAUUUCAUUACCAUAACAUUUAGCAGGCAGCAAGUCUUUGUGGUGGUGGUGGUCUAUAUCCACACAUUUACAAGUAUACAGGUACUCAUGCAGUGUUUUCUUAGCAUUUUUAAUAAAAACAGUUCCUUCCAUCUAAACACGUUGCACUUCUUUUGACCUACAAACAUUUGUAUUUGUAUUGCUUAUUGUGUCCUCCACCCCACCUAUAGUCUAUAAAAACUUGAUGUAUAAGGGUGGAUUCAUGCCACUGUUUGCAAAAGUAUUGCCCCAUCAAAAUAAUUCUGCUAUUCUGUGUUGUAUGCUUUUGUGCUUAGUGGAAAACUGUUCUGAGAAAGGUUGGUCACCAAAGAAGGCCACCAAAAGCAGCCUUCUUAUUUUGCUAAUUUUUGGUCAUUUUCUGUGGAGCCAUGAUCUGUUCACGAUAGUACUGAUCUGUUGCAAGGCCAACCAAAUGGUAAGUCAUAUUCUGUUGUGUUGUCUAAACAAUGUGAUCUAGUCUCACAAUUUUGAUAGAUUUAUAGGUUUGAAGCAAGAGCAAAGAAAAGACAACUGCUGUAGCAGAAAUUAUAGGGAAAACUUUGCACUUUCUCAAAAAAAGGCUGCAUUGGAAUAGCUGUCUUAUAUCUAGGGUUAAAAACAUUGAGAAUAAUGAUGUCUGCUAUCAAUUUUCCUAUGAUUUAGAUCCAAGGGUGUUUUGGAUUGAAAUCGGGGGAAUGUGGUUACCAACCAAUUAUCCAAUAAAAUACCUUUUGACAUACCUUUUGUUGUCCAUGUAGAAUCGUGAAAUGAUCAUUGAGACAAAAUAAAAAAAAAAACACCAUUUGUGCCAUAGUUUACCUCCUUCUAUGCAAUAUCUGAAACAAAAACACAUUAGGAAUGUGAAAAAACGCCAAGUUAUCAGAAGUGCCCAGCCAUUUAAAGUGCACAAUAAUAAUCAGGCACAAUAAAAGCAGAUCAAACCAUGAAAAACACAAGCCAAGUUAGUAGAAGCAAUUGGGGCAACCUUGGCCCUCACCGCUUUAACAGUUGUGUAUAUUUUGCUUUGUGCUGGGCAAGGCUGCCCCAAUGGUUUCUUGAAACUUGGCUUGUGUUUUUGAUAUCUCCACUGGGCCUUUUGAUAACUUGCUGUUUUUUCACAUUUCCAGUGUUUUUGUUUCAGAUAACACAACACGCUUGCAAACUGAAGGUUAUAGUUUCAAAUCCCACGCAUUUUUUGCAGGUAAAUGUUCCAUUUUAAAACAGAAAUAAAUCAUUUAAUAUAAAUGAUAUAGCCGGCACAAUAGGUAAGUUCCCUAGUAUAUUAACAUGUUGACAAAACAAGUUAAUUGUCAUUAAACUCGGAUGUCCUUUAAUACACAUGCGUGGAGUGCCAGGGGUCCGCAAAAAUCUGUAAAAAAAAAAAAAAAAAACGGAGAAAAAGGAGGUCAUUUUUAACUUUGACUUAUUUCUCUUACUGUGACAAGUAUUGACUUUUUUUUUCAAUUCACUUGAGAGUUAAACUACAAAUUAAAAGUGAAAUGGUGCUUUUGGCUAAAUUUACUUUUGCUGUUCCUAUAGCCUGAAAACACGUAAACUAUCCUUGCUGUAUAGAGUCUGGCAGUUUUCGCUGAUAACAAUGUCUACAGAAGCCCAUUUUCUCUGGCAAACUUACUGAUUGGUCUGACUGCUGUACAAAAUACAAUUUGAUCUCACUUGACUUUCUGACCCAUCUGAGAUUUGGUCAGAGACAUUUUUGUCUUGCCAGAGUUAAUAUAGCUUACCCAGCCAUCGUGGCGGCCUGGAUAUAUGAGGUUGUGAAGCUGGGUGUUGUAUUUUAAUUUUAAACUGCAGACUUUUUGAAGCUUGCAGUUGAGAUUUGCAAUGUCUUUUGUCCUUUUUUGUUAUGUAUGUCAUUCCCUUCGAUUUCUGAGAUGUAUUUACACGUGAUUGUAAAAAAAACAAACAAUAUAGAUUGUAUAAAAAGAGCACUUUAUUCAAAUUAAUAUCGGGCAACAGCUAUUCAAAGUACAAUAUAAUAUAGCAUAAUUACUAUGGUAGUUUUAAUUGGUGCAUAUUUGUGAAAUGUAUAGUUACAUAUCUAUAAAAUUGUUUGCACAUGGAGAGGGGAUUGAAGGGUAUAGUCUGUUUUCAUUUGUUAUCCCUCUUGGUAAGCACAUGGGUUUCAGUAACGUGCAGUGAGAAUAAACAGGCCUUCGGGAGGCUCCCUAAACACUCAACACGUAAACCAAAAUGCUUUCCUGUAGAGGUGUCAUUAUAUUCUACUGCCAUCACUGAUUGUGUCAUUAGGAGAACAGCAUGCAUAAAAGAGGGGAGGAUUGUUUUAUUACAAGUCUUUUAUUCUGUUUUGAAAAGAUAAGGCCAGGUUAGGAACAAUGCAGCAUCAUCUAAUGUAUGUUUACAGUCCUGGUCAGACAGUAGUCUUUAAUCUGACUAUAAUAGGACAUUAUUGUCCAGUUCGGCUCCUUGGCAUCUAGAAAACCAGCCGUUUACGUAUUAUAACCGUGUAAGAUGAACAAAAAUGAAUGAUUCAACUACUGUAUAUAAGACCAUAAGAAAGUUUACAAAUGAGAGGAGGCCAUUCAGCCCAUCUUGCUUGUUUGUAGCUUAUUGAUCCCAGAAUCUCAUCAAGCAGCUUCUUGAAGGAUCCCAGGGUGUCAGCUUCAACAACAUUACAACAAGAUGCACGAUUAUUAUUAUUAUUUAUUUUAGUACAGCAGCAGUGUCCCCCACCUGGGAUUGAACCCACGACCCUCUGGUCAAGAGUCCAGAGCCCUAACCACUACUCCACACUGCUGCCCAUAAAUAUGUACAGAUGGAUAUGUACUGUUCUGUUUGACUUCAAAAAUGUGAUACAAUUAAGACUCCCGAGUGGCGCAUCCGGUAAAGGUGCUCUGCGUGGAGUGCAGGAUGCACUCUAUAGCCUGGAUGUUGCCGGUUUGAGUCCAGGUUAUUCCAUAGCCGACCGUGGACAGGAGCUCCCAGGGGGCGGCACAAUUGGCCAAGCGUCGCCCGGGGAGGUGGGGGUAGGGCUUAGGUUGUCCAAGGUGUCCUCGGCUCACCGCGCACCAGUGACCCCUGUAGUCUGGCCGGGCGUCUGCGGGUUUGCCUGUAAGCUGCCCGAGAGCUGUGUUGUCCUCCAACGCUGUGGCUGCAUGGUGAGUCCGCAUUGUGAAAAAAAAAAAAAAGCGGUCAGCUGACGGCACACACUUCGGAGAACAGCGUGUGUUGUUCUUCGCCCUCCCGAGUCAGUGCAGGGGUGGUAGCGGUGAGCUGAGCCUAAAAAUAAUUGCCCAUUCCAAAUUGGGAGAAAAUAAUUUUAAAAAAAAUUGGCAAUGACUAAAUUUAAAAAAUAAAUGAUACAAUUCUAUACAGCACAUACUUAAUUUUGAUCUGUGUAUAAUGUGGCCUAUGUUCUUCUUGGAUACCAUCCUUUGUACACCAUUGGAAUGUCUGCAUGCCAUUGGUACUACAUUCUGCGAAUGGCUUUGUUUAAGCCCUACAGACACCUUCUUCAUAAUCCAAAGCAGUGGUGCUUGACUUUGUUACAUACACCCAGUGGGAACACAAUCAUUUUCUUACUCACAUUUAAAUACUUAACAUGCUGUCCUGGGAAUACAUCAAGUGUAACAUAAGGUAAUGCGAUUCAGGUGAAUCCCAACUACUAUAAAAUGCUCUAAAAAAUGCACCGCUAUUCAUUACGGAUGUAGGUGUCGGAUACGGUAGAACAUUUGUACAAUAAAUUUAAAACUAUGGAAGAGAAAUGUGAUGUUUCAUUUUCGACUGAAAAGGGUGAAGUCUUAAUGUUUUAUAUUUUCAAAUAGGUUUCAGAAUGCAACGUUGUUUUUUUUUUGUUUUUUGUUUUUUGUUUUUUGUUUUUUUAAUUGCAGAAAGGUCUAACCAAAGACAUAGUGAACCUAGGCCUCCAACGGUGAAAAACCAACCAAGGCUGGUGAAUGAUCCAUCUGUGCCACCUAGCCCCUGGCAUAAUCCAAUAGAAUGGCACAGUUUUCAGACUGAGAUGAGUGGACUGUGUUGAGGCAGUAUCUUUAGGGCCAGCAUGAAUGUAGCGCAGGGAAUUAUUUCUGGAUUUGCCCUGUUACCAUGAAAGAUUGUACAGUAUUUAUCGAGAUUACUCAAGACUUCAAGGUAUAAGUCUUGGGUAGAAGAAAGCCUGGGAAUCAGCAACAUCCAUGGACAUCACCAACUGCCUCUGAUAAGCUCUUUCAUCUAUAGAAAUGUCUGGGCUACCGACCAGAGGAUAGCUCUUCAUCA